GGGAGGUUGAGAGAUUGCUUUGAGAAUUUAAGUAUAAUUACAUUUAUGUCCAACCAGAACGUAUAAGUUUCCAUGACACAGUAUUUAUUUUUUUUUUCCUUCCCCUUCUCAAGGAAAAAAGAAAUUGUUCCUAAGGCGGAGCAAGCGGAAACCAAUACAAUUAAAUACUUUGCUUUGCCUGCCAAGGACAUUUGACUGCUACUGUGCUACAUCAGGUAUGUAAUGAAAGGCAAAUGACAACGAAUCUUAAUGUGGCGGGGAGCUUGGGUAACUGUAGUUUUAUGUCAGGGAUAGCUUGCUAGAGAAAAGCUGCAUUGUAUCUAGGAUUAGCAGAACUGCAGGAUUUCAUUAAUGACCGAACAGCUUCUUAGCAAAACAAAGAUAGUUAGGGAGUAAAAAGAGAACAUGACUAGAAUGUGUACCACUAAUUGGAAAUGUAUAUUAUCUUCAUUUUGGUUGGGAGGAGGCGCAGGGGUGCUCUGCAUUGUCAUCUGGAUAACGUCAGUCUGUAGAAAAGUUCUCCCCAAAUUGGGAUGCUGGAUACGAGGCAGCAACAGUUGGAGAUGCCCAGGUUUGAAGGAGACACAUUUAACAGGAGGCACGCUGGAGUCAGCCCAGAGUAGCAGAGCUGAGUUGGACUCCAGCAGAACUUUCCAUUUCAUACCAGGGGCUGGAACUGAAAUGACUAUCUGUGAUUCUCCACUUCCCGGACUUCACACCUCCCCUUCACAGCUUUUUUUAGAGCUAAGCAUCACGUGUACCCUUCAUAGUUGUUUCUUUUCUCAUCCUCCACAUACUCUCAAAGAUAGCUGCUAACAUUACAGAGAUUACAUCAAGCAAUCUGUAGCUAACAAUGGGUGAAGUUCAUUGGGCCACCUGAAUUUCAGACAUUGAACUUUCCAGCAUCGCCCUGCCUCAUUCAAGGCUGCUAGCUGCUCUUUUGCCAGAAGCACUGAAUGUGAGGAACGCAUGCUCACGCGCUUUGAAACCCAUGGGAAAACAAAAAGAGGCACUAAGUUCCCAUUUUUAACCAUUACAAAAUGAUACUGCACAGAAUAAUCCAGACUGGACAUCAGCUAGUACACAAGUGUUAGAGAGGGUCUUAGGAAUGUUUCAGAACCUCUGUGUACUCACAGCUGCAAUUUCAAGUGAUUGGCAGUUCAACUUUGGAUGCUUGUAAGCGUGCCAUAACAAAACCUGAGCAUCCUGAAACUGUCCCAUCUGGACUACAUAAUGCUAUUCAAAAUAUAAAACCUAUGGACACAUCAAGACAGCCAGAAGUUCUUUAGAGGCUUAGAAGCAAUGGGAACUGAGGAAACAACCAAUUGGCAGGACAGGACUAAUCCAGACAAGGUAAUCCUCAGUUAUCAGGCUCUGAAACAUGGAAAUUUCCAUCCGUGGGACAGCAAGCAUCUCUGUGCCGAGUUUGUCACACAUCAGCAGUGGAACUGGAGAGCAAGAACAACCAAAUUCAAAGCCCCCUUUGAUCAGUGUCCCCAUCCUGCAAAUAGGCAGUAACAACUUGUAUAACGAAAAAGAGCUCACUUGGUUUUGCACUGUUAUUUGAGAAAUAAAUACAUAAAUAAAUAAAUACUUGCCUGUAGG
ensembl:lncRNA